AGCAGGGCAAUGCCCAGAGGCCUGCACCUCAAUUGGGAACAACACCGAGAUCUGUGUGUAUUGCUGUAUUGGGGACAAAAAUGCAAUGGCGCAUCCACCGUGACUUUUUGUCUGAUGACGGCUUGCGUCACUGCACUCGCGGUCUGGAUGAACUCAGCCUGAGUUGCUGGAUCAACAUGUCACUUAUGGGACUAGAGAGGAGCCAAGCUUCGCUACGAACCAUCCUUGGCUCUCCCCCAUCUGCUUCUAGUCUUUCAUAUUAUUGUAGAUAGCAUGCUCCAUAUGUAGGGAUGGGGGGGGGGGUAGGUUUACCUAGUCGCGUCUUUUACCUGAGUUUAGUUCCUCCUUUGUAAGUUUUAGAAGAGGAAAAA